CAGCCGCCGCGGUAAUACCGGCGGCCCGAGUGGCGGUCACUAUUAUUGGGCUUAAAGCGUCCGUAGCCGGGUUGGGAAGUCCUCCGGGAAAUCUGGCCGCUUAACGGUCAGAAUGCCGGAGGAUACUCCCAGCCUAGGGGGCGGGAGAGGCCGAGGGGAUUCCCGGGGUAGGGGGGAAAUCCUAUAAUCCCGGGAGGACCACCGGUGGCGAAGGCGCUCGGCUGGAACGCGUCCGACGGUGAGGGACGAAGGCCAGGGGAGCAAACCGGAUUAGAUACCCGGGUAGUCCUGGCUGUAAACGAUGCGGACUUUGUGUCGGACAAGCUAUGAGCUUGUCCGGUGCCGGAGGGAAACCGUUAAGUCCGCCGCCUGGGGAGUACGGCCGCAAGGCUGAAACUUAAAGGAAUUGGCGGG
rnacentral:rRNA from 1 species